GCGCCGGUGGUGUAAGUGCUGCCCGGAAAGCAGAAGAUGCGGGUUGGAGUCCCGCCUGGCGCA
rnacentral:tRNA from 1 species